UCGAGGAAUACAUGGUUUAGUGUUUGAGGGAGAUUUUGUUAGAAGGAUUGGAGUUGUUGAACUGGUGAUUGGAGAUCUGAGAUUCUCAGAGGAAAGAUGAGAUCGAAUCUUCAAAUGGAAGAAAAGAUCUGAGAAAGAAGGAUUGAAGAUUUGGAGGAAAAUAUUGAAGAUCUGAAAGUUCAGAGGAAAGAUGGGAUUGAAUCAACUAGAUGGGAGAGAAGAUCAGAAGAGAAGGAUUGAAAUUGAUGAAGAAAGGAUUUGAGAAGAGAAAGGCUGAAGAGUUGAGAGAGAAAGACUUGAGCUCGGAAGAAAAUUUCUUUUCUUUUGGAGUGAACAGUUUUUCUCCAGAAUGCACCUAUUUAUAGAACAAGGUGAGCAGAUCUCCACCGUUGGAUGAACGAUCUCAGAAUUUGAAUCCACGCGUUGGAUUAAAGUCGCCCCGAAAACCGGAAAAGCUGUUGGCGCGUGUUGAGCGUGUAAGGGGACCGAGGGAAUCUCGAGGCGCUGUGGCAGACAGCUGUAGCCGAAAGCAGAUUUGACUUUCCGUAAAUCACGGAAGAGACGUGUCGUGGCACGUGGAGUGUACCGACAGUUUGUGUUUAUUCUAUUGCUUUUGAUAGAAUAAAUAAAAGAAUUGUGAGGACAACAGCGAGAGCAGCUGGUGCUCUAGUGGUUGAAGAGCAAAGCUCUUGUACAAGAGGUCAGAGGUUCGAACCUUGCCUCUCGUUUAUUUUUAUUAUGUUCGCUUAUGACAUAAUAAGUAAAACAUUUGUACACAUUAUAUUAAGCACAGCUUGUGCUCCAGUGGUUGGUGGGCAAAGCCCUUGUGCAGCAGGUUAAGGUUUCGAACCUUGCCUCCCCCGUUAUUUUAUUUAUGUCGCUUAUGACAUAAUAAAUAUAACACGUGAGCAUAUAUUAAUGAAGGCAGCUCUUGCUUCAGUGGUUGGGAGCAAAACCUUCGUGUUUGAGGUCGGGAGUUCGAACCUUACCUCUUACAAAUAUUUUUGGAUCUCGUAUAUGCUUGAUAUACGGACGUAUAUACGGUAUGUACGGUAUACAUACGUAUAUACGGUCUGUACGGUAUGUAUACUUAUAUACAGUUGUACAGUAUGCAUACGUAUAUACGGUCUGUACGGUAUGCAUACGAAUAUACAGUUGUACGGUAUGCAUACGUAUAUACGAUCUGUACGGUAUGCAUACGUAUAUACGGUAUGUACAAUUUCAUACCGUAGCCGAGCUGGAAGUUGGUGGGCCGAUUGGUAGGCCCAAAUAGUAAGCCCAAAUAGUAAGCCCAAAUAGUAAGCCCAAAUAGUAAGCCCGAAUGGUAGGCCCAAAUGGUAGGCCCAAAUGGUAAGCCCAAUUGUUCGGCCCGAAUAGUAGGCCCAAAUGUUAAACCCAAAGUGGUUUGGGCCGGUUCGAAAUGUGGAUGGUCCGAUUUCUUCAGGCCCAAUUGGCCAGCCCUAGUGCUUAGCCCAAGGAUUGAGCAAGCCCAAGUCAUCAUCAUUGGGUGACAUAAUUUAUUGGCGUGCUUUUGGGGAUGAUUUGUUUUGAGUGAUGCAUCUCUAUGGUUGUGAAGAGUGGUGCAUGCUUAAGUUUUACUAUGGAGAUUUACCGUGAUGCUAAUUGAGUAGCGAAACACUUUGUGGGAGUGUUUACUGUGCUUGUAUGCCAGUACAGAGUGAUGAUCUAUGUGAAGAUCUAUGUGAUGAUCUAUGUGAAGAUCUAUGUGAGGAUCUAUGAGAUGAUCCAUGUGACGAUUUUGUGUAUGUGAUGUGGAGUGUUGUUGAGCAGUUGUUGUGUGAGUUUACGUUUGUGAUGAAAGGAUUUUAGUGGCCAUAGGAAUGUAUUUUUAUACAAGGGCUGUGGCUUUGUAGAUUACUACAGAUUUGGAAAAGAUGGAGAUUCUAUAGUUAGGUCAACCUUAAUCGAGAGGAAUUGACUUACGCUUAAAUUUCGGGACGAAAUUUCUUUAAGGAGGGUAGACUGUAAUACCCCGGAAAAUCCAAAUUAAAUUCCAUGGUUUUUUAGAAAUGAUUUCACGAUAGUAGGAGCGAGUACGAAGCUUGGAGAAGUUGUGGAAUUAGUUCGAACGGUUUUAUUUUCGAAAACGAACGUUUUUAGGGGGUCAACAAAGUUGACUUUUUAUACGUUCAAAAUUUGGGAAAACUUCCUUCAUGAAAGUUGUAGAGCUCGUCGAUACGAGUUCGUGGACAUGUGGAACGCAUUAUUCGGAGUUCGUAUGAUUAUGUUAUGAAUUUUUGAAAUUUGGGAAUUUUCUAUAAAUAGAGAAAUUUUCCGAAUUCUUUCUUUAAGGACAAAAAAAUGGGAAAUUUGCGUUUUGGCCCCCAGCUCUCUCCGUUCUCUCUCUCGUGCGUCCCUCAGACCCGACGGGUCGCGACCGACCCGACCCGGUCGGAAAGCCCACUUCCCGGACGCCACCGCCACCGGACCCGCACCAGACCGGCGCGCCUUGCCGAGCAUAGCUGCUCUGUGGCCUCGCCCCGCCCCGCCGCUGCCUCCAAGCCGAGAUCAAAGCCCGACCCAAGUGCAAAACGGACCCAGCCGGAAAACCACUUUUCCGGCGUUGCAUGGGCCGAUCGUUCCCAUUUUCGUGAUCUCCUCCUCCCCCUGAUCAUCCCCAUAUAGGCCUUGCUUGACGAUUUGGAGUGUGGAGUGAAAGAUCACAAGUUGAAGAUUUCGACGUCCCUGAUUCAAUCUGGAAUCUGAUCAGACGCACGAGAUUAAUCCAACUUCAACGCUUGAUCUAGGACGAUCUAGGCCGAACCAGGCUUAGCUCCAGGUGAUUGACGGUUUGAGUUGGUGGACGAUUGUGGAUCGUAUUUUGAGCUGAAUUGAAGACGCAGCGGGAUUAUCGAGCGGGUAAUCCUACAGGACAGGAGAACCAGGACGGUGAUCGUGCGGUUAGAGCAAUUGUUAGAGUUUUACAACAAUUGUAAGUUGUGAGGUGUGUUAUGCUCAUUUGAGCUUUAUAAUAUAUUGUGAGAGUGAAUUGUAAUAAUGAACUCGAAGUUU